UGCCCCCCCCCCCUCCCACCUUUCAGAGGCUCCUUGCUUGCUUUCCAGAGCCCACCCAACCCGGCAGCCAGAGAAGCCGCAGGAAAGACCCCAUGUUCCCUGACCUGGAGAUUCUGUAUUGGAAGAACGCCAAGGAACGUCUGGUGGCCCAGAGGAAAUUGCAGAAGAGGAUGGCUCCGCAUGUGGGGAUGCAGUUCCCAGAGCUUGGCGCCCUGGAGAUGGACCGGGAGGAGAAGGAGGAGGAGGAGGAGGAGGACUUGGAUGCUGCAGCUGCCGACGAUGGAGCAGAGGACUUUGUGGCAGAUGAGGAGAUCCCCCCGUUGGAAGAGGUGCCAGGUGGCGUGGCAGGUAAUGGUCGGACGAACUGGCCCCUUCCUGUACC
rnacentral:lncRNA from 1 species